rnacentral:rRNA from 1 species
UAGGGAAUCUUCCGCAAUGGGCGAAAGCCUGACGGAGCGACGCCGCGUGAGCGAGGAAGGCCUUCGGGUCGUAAAGCUCUGUUGUCAGGGAAGAAGGCGCGCCGUUCGAAUAGGGCGGCGCGGUGACGGUACCUGACGAGGAAGCCCCGGCUAACUACGUGCCAGCAGCCGCGGUAAAACGUAGGGGGCGAGCGUUGUCCGGAAUUACUGGGCGUAAAGCGCGCGCAGGCGGUCCUUUAAGUCUGAUGUGAAAUUCCGCGGCUCAACCGCGGGUGUGCAUUGGAAACUGGGGGACUUGAGUGCGGAAGAGGGGAGCGGAAUUCCCGGUGUAGCGGUGAAAUGCGUAGAGAUCGGGAGGAACACCAGUGGCGAAGGCGGCUCUCUGGUCCGUAACUGACGCUGAGGCGCGAAAGCGUGGGGAGUGAACAGGAUUAGAUACCCUGGUAGUCCACGCCGUAAACGAUGAGUGCUAAGUGUUAGAGGGGAUUGACCCUUUAGUGCUGCAGCUAACGCAUUAAGCACUCCGCCUGGGGAGUAC